CCUUUCCGGGCGCUACAUAUCCUGCUAAAGUUUUAAUUGAUCCAGAAUCCACACACACUUUUACUUCACCCACGUUCGCACCUAAGUUAAAGGUUGACCCAAUUCCCUUGGAUCGUGUAUUAAAGGUGUCUAUGCCAACGAGCGGCUCUCUGUAUACCAAUGUAAAAUAUAAAUCUUAUGUAGUAGAAAUUUCAGGAGUAACACUAGAGGU
rnacentral:lncRNA from 1 species